GACCUAGCUCAGUGGUUAGAGUGUGGUGCUGAUAACACCAAUGUUGCAGUUUUGAUCCCCGUAUGGGACA
rnacentral:tRNA from 1 species